rnacentral:lncRNA from 1 species
GGAAAUGCAACAGUUGGGCAGGAAAUGUCUGUCCUCACCUAGGUCCGUGGGGUGGAGCCCUAACCAGGGACCACGCCCUCCUCUACCCUGCACUUCCCUUCCCCGGUUUCCUAUUAUUUAAAGAGACCAGGGUCUUCCCUUCCCAGCACUCCCAUAUUAAUUCCACGCAAGUGGAAGUCACCAGCAGCUUACACCAGCAUUGUCAGAAGGAAUAUUAAUUAAACUGCUGUCGCUGCAGAUUGUGACUGGGGGCCUGUUUGUUUGCUUGGAUGUAGGAACAAUUGGAGAAAUCCAUCGCUGCCCAGCUGACACUGGUGGUCAGCUGCUAAUGACCCUUCUGCUGGAGAGAAGAGGAAGUGGGCUUGGCUCUAACUUGCCCUGAUCCCCUUCCAGCCUGACAUUUCUAUGCACAGAGAACUAAUGGAGUCAGACCAGACUGCAAAUUCCCAUGCUGCCAUGCAGAACAAGACUGUUUCAGCCUGUGAUAAGAAACAUAUGGAGGAAACAGCCACUUCAAAGCCUCUGUGGGGAGCUAUGUGAGCUGGAACUUGAAGAUAAAACAUAAGUCAGCCACAGGAAGAGCCACGGGGAAAGUAUUCCAGGCAGACAAGAGCAAGUGCAAAGACACAAAGACAAGAAAGAUCUUGGCCUGCUUCAAGGGCAACCCAAGAGCCAUGAGUAUGAAAUCAAGGUGUCAGAGGGGCUGUACUCCCUCCAAAGGCUGCAGGAGAAAAUCUAUUGCUUGCCUCUUCUACCUUUUGGUGGUUCCAGGAGUUCCUUGGCUUGUGACCACAUCACUGAAAUCUUAACCUGCCUGGUCAUACUGCUGCCUCUUCUUCUCUCUCAAAACUUCUCCUGCCUCUCUUCAUACUUGUGAUUGCAUUUAGGGUCCAUCUGGGUACUCCAGGAAAAACUCCUACUGUCAAGAUUGAACUUAAUCAUAUCUUAUGUCAUAUAAAGUCAUGUUCAAUAUUUUACAACAUAAAAUAAUAGUUUCUGGAGAUAAGGACAUGGGCGUAUCUUUUGGGGGAUCAUCCUUCAAUCAAUUGCAUCUAUCUAUCAGUGAUCACCCCAACCCAAAUAAACCCUCAUAAUAUUUUCAGGUAUCCAUUUUUCCUUUUUCCAGGGUCCCUAUUCCAUG